rnacentral:rRNA from 1 species
AUUGAACGCUGGCGGCAGGCCUAACACAUGCAAGUCGAACGCGUGGCGGACGGGUGAGUUAUGUCUGGGAAACUGCCUGAUGGCGGGGGAUAACUACUGGAAACUGUAUCUUAUCCCGCAUACCAUCAUGUGUUCCCAGAUGGGAUUAGCUAGUUGGUGGGGUAAUGGCUCACCAAGGCGACGAUCCCUAGCUGGUCUGAGAGGAUGACCAGCCACACUGGAACUGAGACACGGCCCAGACUCCUACGGGAGGCAGCAGUGGGGAAUAUUGCACAAUGGGCGCAAGCCUGAUGAAGCCAUGCCGCGUGUAUGAAGAAGGCCUUAGGGUUGUAAAGUACUUUCAGCGGGGAGGCGUUACCGGCAGAAGAAGCACCGGCUAACUCCGUGCCAGCAGCCGCGGUAAUAC